UACGUAGGUGGCAAGCGUUGUCCGGAUUUACUGGGUGUAAAGGGCGUGCAGCCGGGAAGACAAGUCAGAUGUGAAAUCCCGCGGCUCAACCGCGGAACUGCAUUUGAAACUGUUUUUCUUGAGUACCGGAGAGGUCAUCGGAAUUCCUUGUGUAGCGGUGAAAUGCGUAGAUAUAAGGAAGAACACCAGUGGCGAGGGCGGAUGACUGGACGGCAACUGACGGUGAGGCGCGAAAGCGUGGGGAGCAAACAGG
rnacentral:rRNA from 1 species